rnacentral:lncRNA from 1 species
AUUUAGAACAGGAGACAGCAGGUAGCUGUGUGUGGGCAGGAAGGUGAGGAGAGAGGAGCCGGUCUGCGUGGUCUAACUGGUGUUGAUGUGAAGCUUGGCACUAAUGACUGAGGAUUUCCUUGGAUACUCUUGCUCUUCUCUGUGUAGAUUGGAGAGUUUGGCAGAGGUCAGAGGUCAGAGAAGCGAGAAGAUGCACCAGGAAUGAGGGGAGCAGAGCACCACAGACGCCCCACGUUUCCAGGUGCCGUUGACCUGGAGCGAUGGCAAAAAAUAACUUGUGAAGAAAAUGAACGUGUCUAACUUGGAAUGGCAAGGAUUCACCCCACGCCAAACAAAUGGAAGCAUCAUCAGCGUCACUGUCAUCGUCGGCGUCCAGCAGACUUGUCUCCAGACGGUGAGGGAGGGAGGUCGUGUGCGUCACCAGCAGGCCAGGAAGAACGAGUCACCACGGACAGUGGGAACACCAGGUGCUCCAGAGGAGCAAUUCUCCCAGGGCUGGCUCAGCAGCCAGCGAGUCGCUCUGCGUCGCCCCACGGAGAUUCGAGGAUUUCCUGUCUCCAGGGCAGGGCGCUGUUUCUUGCCACACCUCUCCUCCUUGUUUCCACAAACAUCUUUGAAGAAAGGAAAUGGUACACUCAUUCCAGCCGAGCUGACGUCAGAGGUCUGGCCUCAUGUGUAACAGGCUCCGGGGUGUGUGCUGUUUAG